rnacentral:rRNA from 1 species
CGUCUAUAUACGUAUAGCAUAUCAAUAAGCGGAGGAAAAGAAACUAACUAGGAUUCCCUUAGUAACGGCGAGUGAAGCGGGAAGAGCUCAAAUUUGAAAUCUUCAAGGUUUUACCUUGACGAAUUGUAGUUUAAAGAAGUGUUUUCUGUUGGAGUUUUGGUAAAAGUUCUUUGGAAAAGGACAUCAUAGGAGGGUGAGAAUCCCGUAUUUGACCAUUAUCUCCAGCUUUGUGAUACACUUUCAAAGAGUCGGAUUGUUUGGGAAUGCAGUCCGAAAUGGGUGGUAAAUUUCAUCUAAAGCUAAAUACUGGCGAGAGACCGAUAGCGAACAAGUACCGUGAGGGAAAGAUGAAAAGAACUUUGAAAAGAGAGUUAAACAGUACGUGAAAUUGUCAAAAGGGAAGCGUUUGACACCAGUGUUGUUUUCUCGAAAAUCAAUUAAAAAAGGCCGGAUUUUGUGUUGUAUGGACUUUAUCAGCUUUCUGCACUCCUUUCUUACUACUUUCUUAAUGCACUUUUCGUUUAACAAGUCAACAUCAAUUUCUUUUGUUGUAAAAGGGUAUGAGGAAGGUGGCUUUCUUUUCGGAGAAAGUGUUUAUAGCCUUGUGCCUCUGCAAUCGGAGAGAUUGAGGUCUGCAGCGUAGAUCCUUCGGGGUUAGAUACAUUUGUGCUAAGUUAUAGCCUUUCAUAGACAACUUGUUGACUAUGAUCAGUCAUGUAGCUUACUCGCUUAUGCUAUUUUACCUACGCUUAGGAUGUUGAAGUCAUCGUAUCGCGC